rfam:Eubacterium ruminantium strain ATCC 17233 genome assembly, contig: EI46DRAFT_scaffold00007.7
ACUGUGGAGUGUACAAGAACUUGUGAGUAGAUAUGAUUUCAAUCAAUCAAAAGCAUACACGAUGAAACAGUAA